CCUACGGGAGGCAGCAGUGGGGAAUAUUGCUCAAUGGGGGAAACCCUGAUGCAGCAACGCCGCGUGGAGGAUGAAGGCUUUCGGGUUGUAAACUUCUUUUGUCAGGGAAGAUUAUGACGGUAUCUAACGCACAAGCCCCGGCUAACUCCGUGCAAGCAGCCGCGGUAAUACGUAGGUGGCAAGCGUUUUUCCGAUUGACUGGGCGUAAAGAGAGCGUAGGCGGGGUAAUAAGUCAGAUGUGAAAUCCUGUGGCUUAACUAGAGAACUGCAUUUGAAACUGUUUGUCUGGAGUGUGGGAGAGGUAGAUGGAAUUCCUGGUGUAGCGGUGAAAUGCGUAGAGAUUAGGAGGAAUACUAGUGGCGAAGGCGAUCUGCUGGACCGUAACUGACGCUGAGGCACGAAAGCGUGGGGAGCAAACAGGAUUAGAUACCCGUGUAGUC
rnacentral:rRNA from 1 species